AGGCGGGUGUCCCCUUCCUCCCUCACCGCUCCAUGUGCGUCCCUCCCGAAGCUGCGCGCUCGGUCGAAGAGGACGGCCUUCCCCGAAUAGAGACGGACCGGUCUUCGGUCUUCGGUCGAGGGUAUACGAGUAGCUGCGCUCCCCUGCUAGAACCUCCAAACAAGCUCUCAAGAAUGGUAAUUUAGGAGUCAGCCGGUAGUGCAGCGGGUUAAGCGCACAUGGUGCAAAGCAC
rnacentral:snRNA from 1 species